rnacentral:lncRNA from 1 species
CUGCAACACUGGGGCAGGAGGAUGGGGUACACUGGGGGCAGAAAAGCAGGUUACACAGAUCCCUUCCACAAUGCCCAGGCUUUUCCUGGGGACACCGCUCUUUCCGUCCCCUAUCCCACCCUGAGGGGGUUGGUUUAACCCAGAUCCCGAUUUCUGCCUCCCACCGCUCGCUGCUCCCCCGAGGAAGAGCCAUGUGAAACGUAUCUCUCCAUCUUUCAUUAAAAUAAACCAAUUAAGCAAUGCUCAGGAAUCUCUGAUCCAAGCCAGCCUGGCCGGCUAGCAUUCCCAUGUUUCCACAGCACCUUCUCGCCCUGCUUGCCCUCACUUCAAAGCGCGGCGGAGCAGCCCCGGCCUUGGAGCGCUUGGGCAAAGUAUGUUAAGAGAUCUGGGAAACAGGAUUUAACGCCGGGGAAAUUAGUAACCAAAUGAGUUCUUAGCCAAACGGCUCCUCUUCUUGAUCUUGGGAAAAGUGGUGUUUAAAUUCUCUAUCUCAUGGUUUUAGACUCAGGAAAUGUGAUUGCGCAUCUGUCAUUAUUUUACUCUUCUGCGCUGAUUGCUCAUCUUAAACAAACCACAUUCCUGCAUCGCUUAGUAAUCUCUGCUGUUCCCUUUCCUCUCCGAGGAGGCAAGUCCCAGCUUGACAUCAAUGUACCUGCAGAUCAGAGCUCCACUGUGAACCAACCGGCCGAUCCACGCAGACACUGGCCACGCGCAGCCCUCGCACCGCCGGCCCCUUCCUUCCACAUCGCCCCAGCUUGGUGGCACCCCUUUGCCAUAACAUCUGCUUGGCCAAAGCACGGGAGGAGCCGCGAUCCACACCUCGCUGAGACCCAUGUGCUUCUUGGAAGGGCGCUCCAGCCUUCCCCCAUCCUCUGCCGAGCAGCCCUGCUGAGAUAGCCCCGAGCUCGCCAUGAAGCUGCUGAAGGAGCCCAACUCCUAGAUGUUCCCGGCUGCAGGUAGGAAAGGCCGUGCGUGUUUUUAACAGCAGGGAGGGGAAGGGUGGUGACGACGCUGAUCUGGUCCUGGGCUGCCAUCUUAGCAUGGGGCCAUGGCUUUGAGUCCUUAAUGGUUGGGCUUGGUGAUCUGAGAGGUCUUUCCCAACCUAAAUGACUCUGCAAUUCUGCAGUUCUACGAUUCUGUGAUUUUCUGACUCUGUAACCCUAUGAUUCUGUGAUUUGACAAUCCUAUAAUUCUGUAAUUCUAUGAUUUUACAACUCCAUGACCAUUAAGUUCUUGUGUUUGUGAAUGCUUUCCCACGGAGGACCUUGAGGUGACCACAAGGUCGUUGCAUUUUGUCUUCUGAUGAGGACUAGGUUGGCCAAGUGUUGGAUGUGUGUCCCUUCCCCUUGACCCAUUGACGUGCCUGGGAACAGGGGACGUGCAGAGAUGAGAGUGGGGUCCUUGGGCUCUGGUGGGGAUGGAGCCACCUCCAGACCCCCCACCCAGCUCUAAGGGGGAGGUUGUUCGUCUGAGAUUGCUCAGUUUGGAUCCGGUUUUGUUUGCGUUGCCCCUGAUGGGGAUUUCCAAAGCAGCAGCAGGG